rnacentral:rRNA from 1 species
AGGGUGACUAGCUACUGAAUCAUAGAAUUUCUUUAAAUUCAUGAUGUCGUAAGGGAAAAUAAUGAUAUUACCUUACUAUGAGUGUCGUCCAAAGCUGGUGCCAGAAGACUCGGUAAGACCAGAGACGCAAACGUUAAUCAUCUUAAACAGGCGUAAAGGGUUUGUAGGCAGCUUUCAUAAUAUUAUUUCUUACAAAAAUAAAGAAGUGGUCUGAUUGAAAGCUAGAAUCAAAAAGAGGUUAUAGUGUAUAACGCCUAGAGGAGGGCUGAUAUCCUUAGAUCCUAGGCAGAAUACUUAGGGCGAAGGCCACUCUCCACUAAUGAUUGACGCUGAGAAACGAAGGUAAGGGUAGGAAAUAGGAUUAGAUACCCCGGUACUCCUUUCUGUAAACGAUGAAUGGUAGUCAUUAGUAAAAUUAACUAGAGACGAAGUUAACACAAUAACCAUUCCGCCUUGUGAGUACUACUGCAAAGUAGAAAACAAAAAAAUUAGUCGGUCUCGAAGCAAACGGAGUGAAGCAUGUUAUUUAAUUAAUAAAAUCCGC